rnacentral:tRNA from 1 species
GGAGUUGUAGCUCAGUGGAAGAGCGCUUGCCUGGAAUGUGUGAGACACUGGGUUCAAUUCACAGCACCA